rnacentral:rRNA from 1 species
AACGAACGCUGGCGGCGCGUCUUAAGCAUGCAAGUCGAACGGCAAGAGAGAAGCUUGCUUCUCUCCUAGAGUGGCGGACUGGUGAGGAACACGUGGGUAAUCUACCCUUAAGAUGGGGAUAGCUGCUAGAAAUAGCAGGUAAUACCGAAUACACUCAGUUUUUCAUAAGAAGGAUUGAGGAAAGGAAGCUACGGCUUCGCUUGAGGAUGAGCUUGCGUCCCAUUAGCUUGUUGGUGAGGUAACGGCCCACCAAGGCGACGAUGGGUAUCCGGCCUGAGAGGGUGAUCGGACACAUUGGGACUGAGAUACGGCCCAAACUCCUACGGGAGGCAGCAGCUAAGAAUAUUCCGCAAUGGACGAAAGUCUGACGGAGCGACGCCGCGUGGAUGAAGAAGGCUGAAAAGUUGUAAAAUCCUUUUGUUGGUGAAGAAUAAGGGUGAGAGGGAAUGUUCAUCUGAUGACGGUAAUCAGCGAAUAAGCCCCG